rnacentral:rRNA from 1 species
UUCGCAAUGCCCGAAAGGGUGACGAAGCGACGCCGCGUGCGGGAAGAAGGCCUUCGGGUUGUAAACCGCUGUCGGGAGUUAAGAAAUGCAAGGGUGUUAACAGCAUCCUUGCUUGACUAAGGCUCCGGAGGAAGCCACGGCUAACUCUGUGCCAGCAGCCGCGGUAACACAGAGGCGGCAAGCGUUGUUCGGAAUUAUUGGGCGUAAAGAGCACGUAGGCGGCUGUGUAAGUCGGUUGUGGAAGCCUUCCGCUCAACGGGAGAACGGCAUCCGAUACUGCAUGGCUAGAGUGCGGGAGGGGGGAGUGGAACUUCUGGUGGAGCGGUGAAAUGCGUAGAUAUCAGAAGGAACACCGGCGGCGAAAGCGACUCUCUGGCCCGUAACUGACGCUGAGUGUGCGAAAGCUAGGGGAGCAAACGGGAUUAGAUACCCCGGUAGUCCUAGCCGUAAACGAUGGGCACUAAGUAGAGGGGUUUU